AACGCUGGCGGCAGGCCUAACACAUGCAAGUCGAGCGGCAGCGGGAAAGUAGCUUGCUACUUUUGCCGGCGAGCGGCGGACGGGUGAGUAAUGCCUGGGAAAUUGCCCAGUCGAGGGGGAUAACGUAGCGAAAGUUACGCUAAUACCGCAUACGAUCUAAGGAUGAAAGCGGGGGACUCGCAAGAGCCUCGCGCGAUUGGAGCGGCCGAUAUCAGAUUAGGUAGUUGGUGGGGUAAAGGCUCACCAAGCCAACGAUCUGUAGCUAGUCUGAGAGGACGACCAGCCACACUGGAACUGAGACACGGUCCAGACUCCUACGGGAGGCAGCAGUGGGGAAUUUUGGACAAUGGACGCAAGUCUGAUCCAGCCAUUCCGCGUGCAGGAUGAAGGCCCUCGGGUUGUAAACUGCUUUUGUACGGAACGAAAAGGUUUCUAUUAAUACUAGGAGCUCAUGACGGUACCGUAAGAAUAAGCACCGGCUAACUACGUG
rnacentral:rRNA from 1 species